rnacentral:rRNA from 1 species
UCUUCCGCGAUGGACGACAGUCUGACGGAGCAACGCCGCGUGAGUGAUGAAGGUUUUCGGAUCGUAAAACUCUGUUGUUAGGGAAGAACAAGUACCGUUCGAAUAGGGCGGUACCUUGACGGUGCCUAACCAGAAAGCCACGGGUAACUAAGUGCCAGCAGCCGCGGUAAUACGUAGGUGGCAAGCGUUGUCCGGAAUUAUUGGGCGUAAAGCGCGCGCAGGCGGUUUCUUAAGUCUGAUGUGAAAGCCCCCGGCGCAACCGGGGAGGGUCAUUGGAAACUGGGGAACUUGAGUGCAGAAGAGGAGAGUGGAAUUCCACGUGUAGCGGUGAAAUGCGUAGAGAUGUGGAGGAACACCAGUGGCGAAGGCGACUCUCUGGUCCGUAACUGACGCUGAGGCGCGAAAGCGUGGGGAGCGAACAG